AGAAUCAACGCUGGCGGCGUGCCUAACACAUGCAAGUCGAACGAGAAAGUGGAGCAAUCCAUGAGUAAAGUGGCGCACGGGUGAGUAACACGUGACUAACCUACCUUUUAGUGGGGGAUAACCUAGGGAAACCUGGGCUAAUACCGCAUAACACUUACGAGUCAAAGCAGCAAUGCGCUGAAAGAGGGGGUCGCGGCCGAUUAGCUAGUUGGCGGGGUAAUGGCCCACCAAGGCAGUGAUCGGUAUCCGGCCUGAGAGGGCGCACGGACACACUGGAACUGAAACACGGUCCAGACUCCUACGGGAGGCAGCAGUGGGGAAUUUUGCGCAAUGGGCGAAAGCCUGACGGAGCGACGCCGCGUGCACGAGGAAGGUCUUCGGAUCGUAAAGUGCUGUCGAGGGGGACGAUUAUGACGGUACCCCUGGAGGAAGCCCCGGCUAACGUACGCGCCAGCAGGCCGC
rnacentral:rRNA from 1 species